GGGAUGCAGAUUUGCUGCAGUAAACACCAAAACUUGUUAUUAAAACCCCAACCUCAGUCUUCAAUCUUCAUUACCAGUUUACCACCACCUUUCUCCGCACCUUCUUCUUAGUUCUUCCUACUACCAUGCUACUAUAUCCGUUGCUAGAGAUCCUUUUGCUGGAGUCGAAACUACUACUUUGUAGGACAAUCGCUUAUGUUUGUGUUCAUCAUCGACCGUAAUUUCUUUGAUUAAUGAG
rnacentral:lncRNA from 1 species